UACGAAGGUUGCAAGCGUUACUCGGAAUUACUAGGCGUAAAGGGCAGGUAGGUGGUUUGAUAAGUCUAUUGUGAAAGCUCCCGGCUUAACUGGGAGAGGCCAAUGGAUACUGUUAGGCUUGAGUAUAGGAGAGGUUACUGGAAUUCCCGGUGUAGCGGUGAAAUGCGCAGAUAUCGGGAGGAACACCAAUGGCGAAAGCAGGUAACUGGACUAUUACUGACACUCAACUGCGAAAGCUAGGGGAGCAAACAGG
rnacentral:rRNA from 1 species